CUCCUAUGAUGAGAACCAAAUCUUUAUACAGUUCUGCUUCUGAACCAUAAGCUGAAGCCAACGAUAUACCAAACGAUACAAAAUCUCUGAUCU
rnacentral:snoRNA from 1 species